rnacentral:rRNA from 1 species
CUUUUAAAGAAAAGUAAAAAAAGGAAACACUCCUUCCCAUACCGAACAGGAAAGUUAAGCUCUAUAGCGCCAAUGGUACUGCAUGGGAGACUGUGUGGGAGAGUAGGACGUUGCCAGG